CCCAUCAUACAAACAGUUCAUGGAGUACAGAAGCUCAAAGUCAAAAGAACGGCAGUCUUUUAACUAUGGGCCAAAAGGCAGAUUUAAGCCUAAAGAAAGAAAACACGUCCAGAUAAAUGUAGGACUGAUGGUGCCACAUGAAACUGAUGGAACCGAUUUAAAACCUCUAAGAGGGAAAACACUCCCGUUAUUUACAGACCCAGAGGUAGCAGCACCUGAUCUACUGAAACAAGCUGUACAGAAAAUUUGAACAUUUAAUAAGGACAUGCACGAAGGACCAUACAAUGAAGAAAUAUGGAAAGCUUUGCAAGAGAUUGAAAAUGCUGCUUCAUUGAAUGCUCUGUGGCUACUGUGGAAGAAAAGAGAGAAAUUGUUUCUGACUUCCUCCAGUGGUAUAUUAUUGACUGUAACUCAUCUGUAAUUGACAGCCUGAUUCAGGGAGGGUCUUUCAAGCCUGAAGUUUUUGAAUGCACUAUAGCAAUACCCUACUUUGCUGGCCCCUGUCCUGUGCCAAUCUGAAAAGCAACUCACUGCUUUUGAUCUGGAGAUGCUCUUUAAACCUGACCUCAGUCCUUCGGGAAGUAGUCGAAGACUUAAAGAAAAUAAAACCAUGGGCUACUGGGCAAACUAUCUCCUUGAUUGUGAAGAAGGCCAGGCUGCUGUGUCGGUGGAAGAUGUUUUGAUGUUUGCUACUGGGCUGUCUUCACUUCCCCCAUCUGGCUUGUAACCACUGCCACAAAUAGAGUUCCUCGAUGACUCUGUGUUCCCUAUGGCAAAUACAUGUGCAAACUCCUUGAAAUUACCACUCCUGGACUCAUACACUUUGUUUAAGUCACAAUGGACUUUGGAAUUUAAAAUAGUCCAGGAUUUGGCUGUUUUUAAGCUAAAUUCUGGAUGAAUUUUAAGACUCUCAAAAGGUUGUUGUUGAAGGGACAGUUCACCGAAAAAUGAAAGUUCUGU